UAGGUAACCUGCCUUGUAGCGGGGGAUAACUAUUGGAAACGAGUAGCUAAUACCGCAUAACAAUGGAUGACACAUGUCAUUUAUUUGAAAGGGGGCAAUUGCUCCACUACAAGAUGGACCUGCGUUGUAUUAGCUAGUAGGUGAGGUAAUGGCUCACCUAGGCGACGAUACAUAGCCGACCUGAGAGGGUGAUCGGCCACACUGGGACUGAGACACGGCCCAGACUCCUACGGGAGGCAGCAUG
rnacentral:rRNA from 1 species